UCAUCCUCCUUCCCAUUUAUCACAGCCUAGAAUGCAUCCUUUACCUCCAACUUCUCUUUCUUCUGGGACAGGUGUUGUCUCUGUGUCCUUGAGCUUGAUCCACAGUUCAUUCAUUUGCCCAUUCAUUUGAUUGGCAAGCAUUUUCUUGGAAUCGGUUAUUACCCCAUUACUGCAUUGGGCAUUAGGGCAGGGAAAAUCAAGCAACUCUGCAUCUCAUCUAAGUUGAUUGCUAUGUUUCGCCUUCUCUGACCUUAUUUUUUGUGGCAAGGGAAACACAACUGAUUAACAUUCUUCACAGGUAGUUAUGUUUUGAAGAGAGUUUGGAAGUCAUUUGAUAACUUUCUCUUCUCUAAGCAAGAGUCCUACUUCCCUCCAUCUAAGAAAGGCCUCUGACCUAUAUUUAUUUGACCAUUGAUUGCACUGGUUUGUUUUCCAGUGAGCUCUGGAGGUUGGCCAAGACCUUUCAAACACACAAGACAAAGACCUAAAUCAGAUGUGGACUUUCCCGCACACGUUUUGUCUAAAUUUUACAUUUACUUUUUUUUUUUAACACUUAUUUAUUUAUUUUGAGACAGAGAAAGUGCAGGGGAGGGGCAGAGAAAGAGGGAGAGAGAGAAUCCCAAGCGGGCUCCAUGCCGACAGUGCAGAGCCUGAUGCAGGGCUCUAAUCCAUGAACUGUGAGAUCAUGACCUGAGCCGAAAUCAAGAGUUGGACGCUCAACUGGGCCACCCAGGCGCUCCUGCAUUUACUUUUUAUUUUCUGAUUAAAAAUUAAUAUUUAACAUAGAAAAUUUGGAGAAUGCAGGAAAAUCACAUGGAAGGAAGUUACUGCUAACUUUUUGCUCUCCAGCUUUCUAGCGUUUUGUGUGUAAGUAUGUUUUGUGUAGGUGUAGAAAAGCUAUGAUCGUAUCGAACGUAUCAUUUUGUAACCUACUUAUUUGACUAAAAAUAUAUUAUGAAUAUUUUCCAUAUCACUAAACAUUUCUUCUCAAACAUAAUUUUAAUAACCACACAGGAGUCUAUUAUAGGGAAAGUCCAUAAUUUACUUAAUCUGUACAGUGGACCAUGCAAGCUGUUUUCUUUUCCUUUUUUUUUUUUUUACUAUUAUUAAAAACACUGUGGUAAACAUCAUACUACAGAAGACUCACUGUAUAUUUUCUGUUAUUUCCUUGAAUAAAUUCCUAGAAAUGGAAUUGCCAGAUCGAAGGAUAUGAACUAGUCUAAGGCCGUGGUGAUGUAUGGCAAAUUUUUCUUCUGGAAACUUCUAUGCAUGUAUGUUUCCCAGCAGCAGUUUACGAUCAUUCCUGCUUCCUCACUCUCAGGAACAGUGUCUUAGCAGUUUUUUUAAUCUUUGUCAAUUAUCAAACUAAAAAACGGCAUCUCAUUUUUAUUUUAAUUUAAUUUGUAUCUCUUUGAUUACUAGUGAGAUUGAACGUCUUUCAUUUGUUAGCCUUGUAUGAAAUAUUCAUCUUUUUGUAUCGAUUUCUAAGAACUUUUAUACAAGAAGGUUAUUAUCCCAUCGUGCACUUUUCCAACCUGUAGAAAAUAGAGAGAACUCUUAUUUCUCAGCAGAAGAGGGCUCUUGUGGAAUAAGGCUCCAGGUCUCAUUCUGUCUUGUUUCUGUGGAAAGUUCUUCAGCGUGAAAGGUGGAUUUUUAUCCUAGGAAAACUAAAGGCAAAUCUAUAAGUGAUACUGGUGUUGAUCUUUAAAAAAAAAUAAUAAUAACCCUGCAAUCUGAAUUCACUUACCAUUUUCUAUAUUUCUAGUCUAUGAAAGAACUCAGGGCUAUCAAGUAGAACCCAAGAGUUUUCUUGGAAAACCUAGAGAUAUAUUAAUCAGUCAAAUGUUCCUGGACAGUUUACCCUAAUACUACCGGAAGUAUUAGGAUUUGCCGAGUAAGUCCUUGGCUAGUUUGUACCCCGGAUGAAGAAAGAAAGCUACAGACAUUUAACAAGCUUUCUUAUGACCUUAGCUCGACUUAGGUCUAAAACAUGGUCUUCUGAGUGACAGGCUGUUUUCUGGUAGUUUGGCUGCCGUAUCAGUCUCCUGGUAUCUUCUCCUGCCACCUGUGAGGGAGCACAUUCUUCUGGGCUGUUGAAUUUUGACACAUCACCGGCGCUGUCCCCCUCUGCCCUCGUGGUUCCAUAUCAGAGCACAUACAGAAAAGCCAGGUCAGAUUCCCAAGCCCACAGCACCAAUGGAAGACUCCCACUGCGGAGGUUUCUGGAACAAUGUAAAAGGGAAAAAAAAAAAAAUUAAACUUUAAAAAAUCAACCCACUCUCGCACCUGGUUGAGAAUCCCAGAAGAAAAGAGGCCACUCCCCAGCAUCCACAGAAGAUCUCAGGGGGGGACCCAUGAAUUCUGAAUUCUCCAGUCCAUAGGUUGUUUUCAAGCCCUUGUUCUCAUUUCUGUCAGUAAGUGGAAUUCUCAAAACAACAAUACCCUUCCUUAAAUAAAUUAGUGCCCCAUUCUAGCACAUUCCCCUCAACGUCCUCUGUCUGCAUUCUCCCCUACAGCUUCCCACCGUAUCCACCCCCCUCUUCUGUGAGCUGUAAUGACCCUGCAAACACUAAAUGGCAUUUGAGUGCAUUAAGCAGCAAACUCUCCGGUGACAUAGCAAUUAUGACUCUGAAAUAGAUUUGGUGCGUCACAGAAGAUAAGGGUUUUGAAAGUUUCUGUUGUGAUUAUAGCCUGUAACUCCCACAAAUAACAGGCUUCAAAAUAAGAGGCUGCCAGUGGCGCCUUUGUGGCUUUGUCUCAGUGAUGGCACGUAAAUUGCUAUUAAUGUCCUAAGUGUACUUGAAUAUGCCAGUCUUUGGGACGCGGAGUUGGCUCAGUGUCUCUCUCUACAUGGCAUGUCAUUGUUGGUCUGAUAAUCUGGGGUAAUUGCUGUCUCUUGGAUGGUCAGAAAAGUGUAAGGGCUUUAGCUUCCUGUGUGAUGGUAAAUAGCUUCCAGGUCCACACCAUGCGUGUGUGUGUGUGUGUGUGUGUGUGUGCGUGUGUGUGUUCUGUGCAUGGCUACUGCUCAUGGUGAAGGUGUGUAUACAAUCUCUGUGUGUGCCCUGAGUAAAUAAAAGCCUUUCAGAAAAGCCAAAGCAAAAUCAGAGGUUACAAAAAUAAAAUGAAGAACUUGAGGCUGUGGAGAAUCAGCCCGUCGGAUAAUUUAUACUGAGAGUUUAAAAAAAAAAUGUUUAAAAAUACCCUUUGCUUGCAUUAUCCAGAUUUGGCCAUAUGAGUAGAUGCAAUGUUCUGUUGUCUUACACAGCUCCUCUUUUCCAGAAGCAGCAUCUGUGUGUGUGUGCACGUGUGUGCGUGUUCAUGUAUGCAUUCUUCAGGUGUUGUGUUUUCUACAUGCGUAGUAGCUUUAUGUAAAUAUGACAAAGUGUGUCGACAUUUUGCCUGUUUGUGAACACUGUGUGUGGAUGUGUGUAAGUGUGGAUGUGUGCUGGUUUCUGCAGGUCUGAGCAUAGAGGAUGUUUAUUCAGAUAUAAAUACUUUUCUGCACUGAGGCACCUCGAUUUAGCUAAAUCAAGCUGAACUUAUUUUCCUUGACUCUGCAAAGUUAAAUAAAACAGAUUUUUAACUCCUGAUGUACAUUUAACAUAGGGACUCCGUAAGUCGGUGGGACGUGGAAACGUUAUGUGUCACCGUCCUAUGUGCACUUUUAACAGAAAUAAGAAAGCAACCCAACGGAUGAACUUGGAAGCUCACACUACUUCAUCUCCCGUGCGAGCUGUGAAAGGGUCACCCAAAACCAUCCUCUGUGUCUGAAGCGCCUUACAGGACGGUAUUGAUUGCGGGCCUUCACAACAGAUGACUUAAUAAAUGACGAAGCUUAGACAGUGCCGUCAUAGGUCUUGAUCUCAGAGUCGACCUCCAUGUGCACUUGAGUCGUGUGGUGCGGGGUGCUGGCAGGGUGCCGCCCGGUGACCACGUGGCAGUCGAUGGUCUUGUGGUUGGGUUUCGACGGGCACCCCUCGGGCAGCAGUUAGAGUGUGUGCCAGAUAAGGUUGGAGGCAGCGACUGGUCAUGGAGAGUCCGUGCUCCUACCAGGUAGAUGGCCACCAAAUUUACUCCACAGGUCUUGGAGCAGGACCCCGCCUUUCCGGAUAAGGUGACUUAGUAUUAACUACCAAGAUGGCGCUACCCGCAGUGGCAUAACCCCAGGGCAGUAGAGCUUUGUCUUGUCCAAAACCAAGUUUGGUGAGGUGGACUGAGGCUUAGGAGUGAGCAGUAUGAGAAUCCCCUAAAAAUCUCUUUUGAGGCCGUCUUGUGGCUCAUAGGUUCCGGCAUCUUCCUAAACAGCGCAAAGAUUCCCUGAAGGGGAACCACAGACACGAAUCCCCUGCCUUCAGCCCUAAGCCACGCUUCGCGUGUGGUGCCCACACGUGUCACACAGCCCGACCUUUUCAAAUUCGGAGUGUCUAAAAUAGUGGCACAGAGCGGGGACUGCGUUUGGCAAAUUCUAGUUUCUGAGUCCUAGUUUCCUCGCCUGACAAGUAGGAAUAGGAGCCCCCGCAGGGUUUGUGUACCAUUUGAGACUCAUCCACCAGAGUAAGAGAAUCGCUACCACAAUCCGUGCAUUACUGUGCAGUUAUCGCGGACACCGGCGGCCCGACAGCCUUGCACGCACAGGGCAGGCCGCCAACGGAAGCUUUGAAGGCAUUCGUUUCUCUGUUCAUCCAACUCGAGGGCUUAACCAAGCGGCUCCUGGUGAGACGUGAUCCCUGUUCUCUGAGGCCCUGUGGCUGAAUGCUCUGUGAUCUCGUUGAGACUGAAGACGAAAGCCAUUCAUAUGGCCUGCAAGCCUUGGCAUAAUGGAGCCCUGCCACUCUCCGGCCCCAUCUUGCUGCCGUGGCUGCUCUUCUCCUGGUUCCAUUGCUUCUGGCCUCCUCUCAGUUCCUUGGAGCCUUGGGAAAGGAUUCUCUCUCUGCCCAGUGGCCUCUUUGCCCCUCUUUCUACUUGUCUGUAUCCGCUCGCCUCUGGGCUGACUUCCCAGAAGCCCGAGUGCAAUGAGGUCCCUACUAUAUUCUCUCCUUGCACUUACUACCACCUAGAAUCUACGUUUGUCCUUUUGACAAGUUAUCUAAUCUCUGUGUCCCACGAGGCAGGAAGCAGCAGGAGAGCAGAUGUCAGAUGUGUUGUAUCUCCCACUGUAUGCCCGGUGCGUAGCACGGGGCAGGCACUGGAGACGUAUUUGUGGAUCAGAAUGAAAUGGUGACCAUGAGGAAGAGCCGGUACUCACAUAGACCUUUAAAUCAAUAAGAGCUGCAUAUGGUUAAAAGUCAACAUGAAGGGUCAAAAAGUUGGGGGUCCUGGCAUUUAGGGAAGUGGGUGAUGGUAUGCCUUGAAAGAGGAAGGAGGUGGCUCUCUGGCCAGGCCGUGGAAGAUGAUGCGGGUUUCUAGAGGCCAGAGGAGAGGGACGGGCAAAGGCCAAGAGCCUCUAGCUGGAUUUCAUCUGUAGAGCAAAAGGGACCCUCACUUGGGCAGUGGGUGAUCUGUUAUUCAGCUGAAACUACUGAAGUCUCGGUCAGCAAGGGUAUCUGUUCUCUACCAGGAACGGCUGAUUUGUCUUAACAUAUACAGACCUUUCAGGGCAAAAUCUCGAGGCUCGAGAAGCUGCGGUGGGGCCCGCCUAGAAAGGGAGGGCAUGGUGGGACCCGGCUGGAAGGUCACCAGGGACUGACCGAGUGGCAGGUGGCAACCAGGGAGGACACCCUCCGCGGUCAGGGGACCAUGGAAGUAGGGAUUCUGGGGCCAGCAGCAUGGGGAUAAUCCAAGCAGAGGGUUGACUCCGGGGAAAUGUGAUGGCAGGUGGGAGUUGGUGAGCUGAGGCUCCAGAGCAAGCUUCGAGUUGCAAGAGCAAGUCACGAUCUCAGUCUCAGCCGAACUGGCAGAAAUAGCGGGAAUUUACGCAGAAGCUGGCCGUGGAUUUGGCAGAGGUGGCUUUAGCCGCAGAAGAGAAGUACCUGUACAAAGAAACAGGUGCAAAAGGUCAGAGCAGGACAAGCAGCAAAAUUGAUUCUGAGUUGCCUGGGGUACCCAGGUGAGCCAGAAUGGAAUCUUUUGGGUUGAGUGUACCUGUUAUUCCCCAGCAGGGAUGCCCAGAUCUAGUGAAUGUAGACACUGCACAGGACAGACGUACACUUAACAGUUACUUGUUGUUUAUCCCAGCUUUGGGAGGCGUCCUCUAUUUUCUCUGGCGGCUCCAUUCCCAGAUCCCAAGGUGGUAGAAGCUGGAUCUGCGUGGGAGUCUCAGCCUCAGAGAGGAUAAAGAUGGGAAAAGCCCCUGCAGGCCGCACAGGGACUGUGUCUGUUCCGUACAUUUCCGUGAACCCCACUAAGCCGGAGGAGGCAACGAGGAGGCCAGUCCAGAUGCCAGGCUCUCCCCGUGCCCUUUGGAGAACAGCCCUUGUUGACAUGGUGAGCUAAGCUGUGGAGCCACGACAGGCAGGAUCCAGUGUUUGGGUUUGUUGGGUUUUUUUUCCAACUGUUUUUUAAAGAAACGGUACAGAACAGUAUGAAUAUUAAUCAUAUAGUUCCUUAUUUAGGAUCUGGGGUGAAAUACCAGAUCUCCUUGAUGUCUGCUGAGUAAGAGAAGAGUUCACUUCCUGGAUGUAGAAGUCACCCUGCAACCUGGCACUGCCUCUGCCUUAUCGCUUGAGUAUCUUCUCGGUGCUCACAAGCUCUUUCCGUGUAGUCAGACUAAACCGCGGAGGUCCCGGAUCUGCUACCGUGGAUCCCUCCAAGCCCACAAUGGAGAAGGAACGUUGGAGUGCCUGCCGCUGAACGUUUAUGUGCUUCUUCGUAGGCCCCUCCAAGAGAUAUUUAUUAAAGUCUGUGCUGUGGCAGGCACUUCGGAAGCAAAGUUCCACAGCCCAGCCGUCGUGAUCUGAUGAGUGAGGCAGACAUAUAGAAGAACAAAUGCAGUAUGGCCGCCCGGGUACUGUGAUACAGGUGCAUACAGAGAAGGCGGGCGGGGGGUGGGGGGGAACCUGCAGGAGGAAGAGACAUUGCCAGGGGGCAGAUAGGGGCACAAGGAUACUUAACCUCAGUCUUGAAAAACAGUACAAGGCGUGAGUGGCAUGUCAUUGGAUAAGUGGGGUCUUCAAGGGGAAAGAAGCAGGCAUGAACUGACUCCUCUGUUCUGGGAAUUUCUUAGCAGCCUGCUAACGGUUGAAGUAUGAAACACAAGGGUUGCGUUGGGGAGUGAGCAAGAUCAAGGACAUUGUGGGCCUGAUGAGGACACUCAACCUCAUCUGGAGGCUAAUGAGAAGCCACUGAAGGUGAAAGAGGGAGAUCACAAUUACAUGUUGGGAAGAUCACUCUGGGGGCAGCUGGAGGUAGGACCAGAGGUUGUCAGAGUGGGCCGGCACCUACUAACCGUUGUCAGACUUUCCGGGGAAACUUUGACUGUUUUGUCCCCAGGGGCAAAUGCUCGGGGUAUAAUCUUGGGAAAAGUGUGCGCAUAUCAGGAAAACAUCGUUCUUCGAGCUUCUUGGAAAAGUGGUCGAUCUAUGAUGUGGCCCCGCCGAGUGAGCCGACGUCCCCGCUGAUGAGUGGUGGCUGUGUGUGUUUGUCUGUGCAUGCCUGUCCGCAUGGAGAGGGAGCACACGUCCCCGUUUCAUUUGUUUUUCUUCCUGGCCGGCCCCACCAGUGCCGGGCCUUUGGGGGCCUGGAGCACGUCCGCCUCCCCACCCACGCCGAAGGCAUCUCUGGUAAUGGCAUCUGGCCCAUAUGCACAUCGAGCUCUCCUUGGUGCUGACAUCAGCCAGUUUGUGGCACCUCAGCGUAUUUCUGGGUUGCAAAUGAGAGUUUCUUAGUGCCAGGCUUCGCUCGGGCUGUCACAUCAGGUGAUGAAUUCUCUGCAUCAAUGGUGUGCUGCUAAGGUAAGCUCAGAGGAAGAGCGGGAAGGAGCAGAGGGUGGGACUAGCAGUUCUCAGCUCAGCAGCCACUGCUCUGGGCUGAAAGCGGUGCUGUAUCCUCAACAACAGCAGGGGAGAGGCAGGUGGCCCUUGUUUGGGCUCGGAAAGGUGGCAGAGAGAGAGAGAGGGAGAGAAGUCGGGGCUUCAGGGACAAUUCCGUGUUCUCGCGUUUGGUCAGGAGAACCCAGGUGGGUGUCCCAUCCCCCACUGCCCCAUCCCUGGCCUCAGAGCUCGCUGCGCCUUAUCCAUUAGAGGGGGUCCCAGCAACAUUGGGUAUAUAUCAAUUACGUGCCAAAUUCAUUCGGGCAGGAUGUGGAGUCCGUAGUCGUUUGUUUGUUCUGAAAUGUUUUGUUCCCAAAUCCCUUUCUUUAAUUUGUGUUUGAAAGUCCGGGUUUUCUUGUCUGGGAAACCGUGUGCAUUUUGUCCUAAUUGUGUAUUCCUUUGGCUUCCUCCUCCAGGAGGUUCCAUGAUGAGCCCGCUGCUGGCUUAGGCUUCAUCUGGUGGAAUUAAAUGUGAGAUCAGGCCUCGCUUCCAGGCCACAGGCCGCAGAAUUUCCUGUACGACUAGCUGCGAAUGUAAAGGCUCCUGCAGGAGGCGUGUUCCUAGAGAUAACAAGGGCACACUUGGUUUUGCAGAUUUCACCUUCCCACCCCCGUGAGGCCUCAGUGCGCUUCCGACAUCAGCAUUUUGAAGGGAGUGUGUCUGUUCUAAAGGGAGGUUUGCAUCCGAAGAUGAGUGAAGGCGGAAGUUGGGGCGCAGAAGAAAAAUCAGAAGGAAAGUCUUAUUUCUUGCCACCCCCUGCCCCCACGGUCGCUAAUGAGACCAUCCUCCCUGCUCCCUGCGCCCGCCCCAGAGAUAAAUAAACACACAAAGGCGGAGUUUCCUACUUAAUAUGCACCCGCAGUCAGGAAGCGGGAAGGAAUUGCUCCCCAGGGUUAACGCGGCAGUGAGCGAGGUCAGCUGUUUCCCAAGACGGAGCAGCCUCUGAACUGCUUGCAUUAAGGCUGGAACAGCGCCGCCGAAGCAGCCAGAGUGAUUUACGGGAAACCUGGCGAAGUCGGGCUUGCUCGCAGUUUCUGAUCACGGAGCAUAAUGAAGAUGCCAGUUUUGGUGUCCGCUUGAACUGCUUCCUGUCUCUACCAUCUGUGAGUUUCCUGUACCCUCUGGCAUCCUGUGCACUGGUCUGAGAAAACAAAACUUCUUCAAAGGCCUCCUGUUUGAGUGAUUUCUCUCAGACACCCGAAUCAAAAGGCGUCUCCUGGAAUCUUCUGGAGCGCGAUGUCGUGAAACGUUUUUGCGCCUUGUACUCUGACAUGGACGUGGACUGCUUUCCUGGGGUUUCCACAUCUGCACGUCCCCCACCAGGUCGAUUCCAAGAUACGUUCUGCCUUGAAUGAUAGUUCAUUCACAUGCGUGUCUUAUCCACCUCCUUGAAGCCACGAACCGUAUCUCAACUCGUCAUUGUAUACCCAAGAGCAUCUAGUACAGAACCUUGCACAGAACAGGUGCCUGGAAUCCCCUAACGUACGGAACACGCAUAGAAAGGCUUUAGAAGGCAUUCGGGCAACCUUUUAAUUUUUCUAAAGGGGAACCCGAGACCCAAAGACGUAGAAGUGCUUCACCAGGGUCAACAGCUAGCCAUGGCCAGCGUCGGAACCAGAACUUGGGUCCCUCGACCUGUCAUUCCCCUAGAGCAUCACCAUGAUCAUCUGACAGCUUGAACUGACUUCAAAGAGCUUCGAGAAGUGGGGGGUAUUAACCUUGUGUCCAAAGGCUCAAUGGGAGGGCCCAAACUCCUCUGAGGGUGGAGGGAGUACUACCAACCACAAGAAUAGCGGCCCAGCCGAGGAGCGUCCUAUGUGCCAGGCACCGUGCUAGGCCCUUCACACAAGUUGCCUUGUUGUCAUUGUCUGCUCAAAAUGGCCACCCAAUCUCAGAAGACUGACUUCUCUCCCUUUUUCCC